CUUGGUCAUUUAGAGGAAGUAAAAGUCGUAACAAGGUAACCGUAGGUGAACCUGCGGUUGGAUCAUUAAUGUAUAAAAAUGUGGGCAAGUUGCUGUAAAAGGUGCUUGCUUUCACACACACCCCCCUCGUGAACCGUUUUUUGUACCAACCCUGCAACCUUCGUUCCUUUUUCGGGAAAGCUGGUUGUGACCACACCAUGUAGUUUAUGUAUAUCAUGUGUCUCCAAGUAGUGUUCUUUGUGAAUGCUGUUUUAAAAAACAAAAAACAACUUUUGACAAUGGAUCUCUUGGCUCUCGCAACGAUGAAGAACGUAGCGAAUUGCGAUAAGUAGUGUGAAUUGCAGAAUUCAGUGAAUCAUCGAAUCUUUGAACGCACAUUGCACUCUUUGGUAUUCCGAGGAGUAUGCCUGUUUGAGAACCGUUAAUUCCUCACUCCCCAAAGUAUUUUGUAAUGAAGUACAGCGGGUGGUGGAUUUGGUUUAUCCCAAGAUUUGUUUUUUGGGUGAACUGAAAUGGAGGGUCCGGAGCUUUUGUUCAUGAAACCUUGAGGGGUUUCACGUCAAAUUAGAUACCUGCUUCUGAGAAACGCUUCUUAGCAUCUUUUGGAUAAAAUGUGAGGUCUUUGCUGGUCUCCUUUCCUCUAAGAGUGCGGAAAGCUGUAAAGUUGCAACCUUUGAAACGACGUGAUUCAUUCCAAACUCUCUUAGAUUCUGCCCUUUAAAAUGGGUGCAAAAGUAUACGGCUCGUGUUAUACAUGCCAGGCGCCUUGAGUAAUUUUUCUCAAGGUGAACACCUGAACUUUGGUCUCAAAUCAAGCAAGAGAACCCGCUGAACUUAAGCAUAUCAAUAAGCGGAGGAAAAGAAACCAACAGGGAUUCCCCUAGUAACGGCGAGUGAAGCGGGAAAAGCUCAAAUUUGAAAUCUCACUGGUUUCCAGUGCGAAUUGUAGUUUCUAGAAGCGUUUUUGGGGAGAAGUUAGGUCCAAGUCCGUUGGAACGCGGUGCCAUAGAGGGUGAGAGCCCCGUUGGGCCUGAUCUUUCUUCCUGUACAAUACGUUUUCGAAGAGUCGGAUAGUUUGGGAAUGCUGUCCAAAAUGGGUGGUAAAUACCAUCUAAAGCUAAAUAUUGGCGAGAGACCGAUAGCGAACAAGUACCGUGAGGGAAAGAUGAAAAGAACUUUGAAAAGAGAGUUAAAUAGUACGUGAAAUUGUCAAAAGGGAAACGCUUGAAACCAGUAUUGGGUGUUGCAAAUCAACCGCAAGGUGCAUUUUGUAACAUCUGGGUCAGCAACAGUUUGAUUUGGAGUAAAAAGCUUGUGGAAGGUGGCCCUCGGGUGUUAUAGCCACUUGUUAUGCUCUGGAUUGGACUGAGGACUGCAGCUGCCUUGGGGAAGGUGCCGCCUUGACUGGAUGUCUUAUAAACAACUUGUUGAUUACGAGACAUUUCUGAGAGCCCGGUGCUGUACCACUAUCAGCUUAGGUUGCUGACGAAAUGGUUUUAAACGACCCGUCUUGAAACACGGACC
rnacentral:rRNA from 1 species